rnacentral:lncRNA from 1 species
CUCCCGUGUGUCUGAUGCUGUCUUCCAAGCGGGAUAUAUAAUAGUAAAUGGGAAAGGAGGGGCCCUGCCCCCAAGCAGCUCACCACCUCCUCCUCCUUCUUAACUCAAAGCAGGACACCUUUGCUGAAUUAAACAAAGUCAUGAAACCUGACAUUGGACUAGAAGAGCCUACCUGGUACGACGACUGCCUGAACAGCAAGCCCAGAGGACUGUCGUUUUUGGAAAAAUCUCCAAUUCCCACUGGCCUCUGAUGAAGGUUGAAGGCAUAGGACGCAGUACAGACCAAGGGAGCCAAAAGUGAGGGUCCACAACUUAAUCAGAUGAGAAAGCUGAC